rnacentral:sRNA from 1 species
UUCAGCGCUGGCUGCGACAUCUGUCACCCCAUUGAUCGCCAGAGUUGAUUUGGCUGAUCUGGCUGGCUAGGCGGGUGUCCCCUUCCUCCCUCACCGCUCCAUGUGCGUCCCUUCCGAAGCUGCGUGCUCUGUCGAAGAGGACGACCAUCCCCGAUAGAGGAGGACCGGUCUUCUGUCAAGGGUAUACGAGUAGCUGCGCUCCCCUGCUAGAACCUCCAAACAAGCUCUCUUUCCUUCCGCCCUUGCAAUUUGGCAAGUUUUCAGCUUGUGGCUUCUCUGAAAGCCAGAGUGCCAGAGUGAGGUAAAGA